UACGGGGGGGUGCGAGCGUUGUCCGGAAUCACUGGGCGUAAAGGGCGCGUAGGUGGUUUGAUAAGGGUGUGGUGAAAGUCCGGGGGCUCAACCCCCGGAUCUGCCGUGCCGACUGUCAAACUCGAGGGCUGUAGAGGCAGACGGAAUUCCGGGUGUAGCGGUGGAAUGCGUAGAGAUCCGGAGGAAGACCGGUGGCGAAGGCGGUCUGCUGGGCAGUUUUCUGACACUGAUGCGCGACAGCGUGGGGAGCAAACAGG
rnacentral:rRNA from 1 species